GACAGAGGUGCCGAGCGUUAGGCGGAAUCACUGGGCUUAAAGCGUGUGUAGGCGGACUUCUAAGUACCUUGUGAAAUCCCCGGGCUUAACCUGGGAACUGCAGUCGAGACUGUCUAGCUAGAGUAUGGGAGAGGGAAGUGGAAUUUCAGGUGUAGCGGUGAAAUGCGUAGAGAUGUGGAGGAACACCGAUGGCGAAGGCAGCCUCCUGGGCCAGCACUGACGCUCAUGCACGAAAGCGUGGGGAGCAAACAGG
rnacentral:rRNA from 1 species